UGCUAGAAAGUUGAGACAGGUGCUGCACGGCUGUCGUCAGCUCGUGUCGUGAGAUGUUGGGUUAAGUCCCGCAACGAGCGCAACCCACGUAUUUAGUUGCUAACAGUUUGGCUGAGCACUCUAAAUAGACUGCCUUCGUAAGGAGGAGGAAGGUGUGGACGACGUCAAGUCAUCAUGGCCCUUAUGCCCAGGGCGACACACGUGCUACAAUGGCAUAUACAAUGAGAUGCAAUAUCGCGAGAUGGAGCAAAUCUAUAAAAUAUGUCUCAGUUCGGAUUGCUCUCUGCAACUCGAGAGCAUGAAGCCGGAAUCGCUAGUAAUCGUAGAUCAGCCAUGCUACGGUGAAUACGUUCCCGGGUCUUGUACUCACCGCCCGUCACACCAUGGGAGUUGAUUUCACUCGAAGUCGGAAUGCUAAAUUAGCUACCGCCCACAGUGGAAUCAGCGACUGGGGUGAAGUCGUAACAAGGUAACCGUAGGAGAACCUGCGGUUGGAUCACCUCCUUUCUAGA
rnacentral:rRNA from 1 species